AGUCCCAGGACAAGCUGGCUAACCCUCAAGAGGCUCUAUGGCACACUAGAGAAGUGUCCCCAACUGCCUCAGGGAGCCAGAGACCACUGGGUUUCAGGGCUGCCCAGUUUUAGUGCCAAACUGACAUCUGGAGGAAGCAAGGAUAUCUUAUGUGCUUUUUUUUUUUUUUUUUUUGAAUAGUGUCGUUCUGUUGCCCAGGCUGGAGUGCAGUGGUGUGAUCUCAGCUCACUGCAACCUCCGC
rnacentral:lncRNA from 10 species